AUUGAACGCUGGCGGCAGGCCUAACACAUGCAAGUCGAACGAGUGGCGGACGGGUGAGUACUGUCUGGGAAACUGCCCGCUGGAGGGGGAUAACUACUGGAAACGGUAGCUAAUCCCGCAUACCAUCGGAUGUGCCCAGAUGGGAUUAGCUAGUAGGUGGGGUAACGGCUCACCUAGGCGACGCUCCCUAGCUGGUCUGAGAGGUUGACGAGACACACUGGAGCUGAGACACGGUGCAGGGUGCUACGAGAGGCAGCAGUGGGAAAUCGUCCGCAAGGGACGAAAGUCUGACGGAGCAAAGCCGAGGGGGGGAUGGAGGCUUUCGGGUUGGAAACCUCUUUGGCGAUCGGGUAGGUGGAGAAGAAGCGCCGGCUAACUACGUGCCAGCAGCCGCGGUAAUUC
rnacentral:rRNA from 1 species